AGUGAACGCUGGCGGUAGGCCUAACACAUGCAAGUCGAACGGCAGCACAGUAAGAGCUUGCUCUUACGGGUGGCGAGUGGCGGACGGGUGAGGAAUACAUCGGAAUCUACUUUUUCGUGGGGGAUAACGUAGGGAAACUUACGCUAAUACCGCAUACGACCUACGGGUGACAGCAGGGGAUCUUCGGACCUUGCGCGAUUGACUGAGCCGAUGUCGGAUUAGCUAGUUGGCGGGGUAAAGGCACACCAAGGCGACGAUCCGUAGCUGGUCUGAGAGGAUGAUCAGCCACACUGUAACUGAGCCACGGUCCAGACUCCGACGGGAGGCAGCAUGGGGGAAUAUUGGCCAAUGGGCGCAAUCCUGAUCCAGCCAUACCUGGUGGGUGAAGAAGGCCUUGGGGUUGGAAAGCCCUUGUGUUGAGAAAGAAAAGCAGCAGGUGAAAGCCCCGCUGUUCUGACGGUACCCAAAGAAUAGGCACCGGCUAACUUCGUG
rnacentral:rRNA from 1 species